CAUCUUCACGCUGCAGACUCUGAAAUUUCUCUCUAUCCAUCCACAUUCUGCCCCUGCAGGGAAAAUGAUGUUGGCCCCAGGUUCCAUUCCCAGACUGGCCUGGGCAGGCCAGAGCGGUCAUCAAGUUGGAACUCAGGGGCCUGAGGUUGGUCCCAACAGAUCCAAGGGCAAAACCAAAAGCAAGCCAUUCUGUAAGGAUCUCACACAGAACCAGGGACUCACUUUGUAGCUCAAGCUGGCCUCUAACUUGCGAUCCUCUUUCGUCAGCCUCCUGAAUGCUGGGGGUUAUGCUAACCUCUGUGCCUGCUGAACAGAUGAGGACCUCCUUAGGUGCUGGAGCACUGUGUUGUACAGCGUUCCCUGCGGGAUGGUGCUCAUGCCGGCAUGAUCUCCCAAGCGAAAUCUGGGACAGAAGUCAUGACAGGAUUGUGAAGAAGGCCGACAGUGGACAGUGUAAAUGAGGAGAGAAUUUCCUCUUCAGGAGGAGUAAAGGCAGCAGGAAAUGGUUUUCUAACUCUGUUAGCAGAGUUUUAUAGCCAGGAAGAUUACAACCACUUUCUACCACCAUUCUCACCCUAAUGAGGCUCUGAACUGACCGUGUCUGUGGAUUGCUGUUUGUGAAAU
ensembl:lncRNA